rnacentral:rRNA from 1 species
GAUGAACGCUGGCGGCGUGCCUAAUACAUGCAAGUCGAGCGAACAGACGAGGAGCUUGCUCCUCUGACGUUAGCGGCGGACGGGUGAGUAACACGUGGAUAACCUACCUAUAAGACUGGGAUAACUUCGGGAAACCGGAGCUAAUACCGGAUAAUAUAUUGAACCGCAUGGUUCAAUAGUUAAAGACGGUUUUGCUGUCACUUAUAGAUGGAUCCGCGCCGCAUUAGAUAGUUGGUAAGGUAACGGCUUACCAAGGCGACGAUGCGUAGCCGACCUGAGAGGGGGAUCGGCCACACUGGAACUGAGACACGGUCCAGACUACUACGGGAGGCAGCAGUAGGGAAUCUUCCGCAAUGGGCGAAAGCCUGACGGAGCAACGCCGCGUGAGUGAUGAAGGUCUUCGGAUCGUAAAACUCUGUUAUUAGGGAAGAACAAAUGUGUAAGUAACUAUGCACGUCUUGACGGUACCUAAUCAGAAAGCCACGGCUAACUACGUG